rnacentral:rRNA from 1 species
AGUAGCGAAAGCAGGCAAACCAUUUGAAUGGAUGUCAAUCCGACUCUACUGUUCUUAAAAGUUCCAGCGCAAAAUGCCAUAAGCACAACAUUCCCUUAUACUGGAGAUCCUCCAUACAGCCAUGGAACAGGGACAGGGUACACUAUGGACACAGUCAACAGAACACACCAAUACUCAGAGAGGGGGAAGUGGACGACAAAUACAGAAACUGGGGCUCCCCAGCUCAACCCAAUUGAUGGACCACUACCUGAGGAUAAUGAACCAAGUGGAUAUGUACUGUCCCAGCCACUGCGGUUAUACUGAUAGGGCGAUUAUAGGUCCGUCGUGAUUGGAGGUGUUGAGAUUCUUGUUUUGAGCUAGGUUUCAUUAAGAUUAAAAGGUGAAAUUUGUUAGUUGUUGGUGAGAUUAUCUCGGAGUUUGAGAUUUUGAGGCUUUGGAGUCCAAGGUGUAGAAUAGGAUUAGAUACCCUGUUAUWCUUGGUAGAAAUUAUUGGAUCUUUGGGUAGUAAACAGGUAUAGUCUCGAAACUCAAAGAAUUUGGCGGUAUUUAAGUCUAGUUAGAGGAAUUUGUGCAGUAAACGAUAGUCCGCGAGUAUCUUGCCUUAUCUUGUAGGUUUUCAGUCUGUAUACCGCCAUUAUUAGGUAAUCUUUUUAGAGAGUUAUKGUAAUUAAGUCUAGUUAAGUAUAUUAGGUCAAGGUGCAGCUUAUGAUAAGGGUGUCGUGAAUUACAAUGUUAUAAGUGUAGACGGAUGGGCUGUGGGAGAGCAGUCUUUAAGGUGGAUUUAAUUGUAAGGGGUGUGUAUUAUGCAUGUUC